UUUGCACGUGGAUGGGCCCACCAUCCCUGUGCGGAGAUGUGGAUGCAGUAACUUAGCCUCUAAUGGGAUCUGGGAAUAUUUUUCUCAGAAGAGCUACUGAGAACCCAUGAGGGACAUUUCUUAAUGAGUGAUAGCUCCCAGAUGAGGCUGAUGGCCCAUGGACCACGUCUGGAAGAGCUUCAGUUUAUGACAAGUUGAAAAUACCAGCGGUCUCAGCGAACAGUGCUAACUCCACCUCAAUUAUCCUUUGUUCUGAAAAUUCUUUCUCUAAGGACAUAGUCAGCAGUUUGCCCGGAUCUCACAAUUGGAAAGAGUGGAGCUGAGACCUCCAAACCCUCAUCUGCUCCACAGGUUCCCUCCCACCCCCUCCACAUCUCUGAGCAAAGCAGAGGUGCUCAGAAACAAAGCCACUUCACCUCUUUUAUCUUGUUUCCCCCGCUGCACUAGGGGCACACCUCUCACACGGCGUGUGGCAGGGUGAGUGUGAUGCUCCGGCACAGGGCUGGCCUGCCGGGGUGGUCAACGUCUGGUAGGCACGGCUCAUUUUCCUCUCUAGACUCUUACAUAACCCUGCAAGUUAGAAGAGGCCCAGGGCUGCUGCAUAAGGGUCAUUGUUCAGACUUAGCAGAGGCUGGGGAGCGCACAGUGGGUGCUCUGAAAGCCGGACCUAACCCCCGCUCAGAAACCUCGGCCUCGUGACCUGCUGUCCACUCUCCCGCCUGAGUCGUCCUCGCCUGGAGCAA